UGAGGAAUAUUGGUCAAUGGGCGAGAGCCUGAACCAGCCAAGUCGCGUGAAGGAAGACUGCCCGCAAGGGUUGUAAACUUCUUUUGUAUGGGAUUAAAGUCGUCUACGUGUAGACGUUUGCAGUUACCGUACGAAUAAGCAUCGGCUAACUCCGUGCCAGCAGCCGCGGUAAUACGGAGGAUGCGAGCGUUAUCCGGAAUUAUUGGGUUUAAAGGGAGCGUAGGCCGUUUGGUAAGCGUGUUGUGAAAUGUAGGAGCUCAACUUCUAGAUUGCAGCGCGAACUGUCAGACUUGAGUGCGCACAACGUAGGCGGAAUUCAUGGUGUAGCGGUGAAAUGCUUAGAUAUCAUGAAGAACUCCGAUUGCGAAGGCAGCUUACGGGAGCGCAACUGACGCUGAAGCUCGAAGGUGCGGGUAUCGAACAGG
rnacentral:rRNA from 1 species